AAUGACACAUGGCUUGAUGCCUACCAUUUUCUACAAGAUGUACGUAGUCAUCGACAGAGAAGAGACGAACAUGAUGACAUGAUGAGUUUUCAAGGCCCUCUCACUUGCCUGCCACUCGCACGAGGACAUAGCCAAAGCACAAUAUGCUAGUGUCCUUGUAUAAACCACACACACGUGCCUCACACAAAUUUAAAGCGUCACAAAACUAUUCAUAUAACAUAAAAUGCAGUCUAUGUAGGAAUAUAAAAAAUAGAAUUGUUCGUAAAACAUCCGAUGAUUACAUGCUACUACAAGCAUGUCCAUCACAUAUAGAACAGACCCACAUGAUGAGUCGGGUCCAUGUUUGACAAGCUACUGAAUUUUUCUCAUUCACAUUGUAAGAUGGUAUGAUGCCCGCCCUUUAAAAACCUUUAACUUCUACAUGUAGGUAUUGAAAGUCUCGAAGAUCCUUGAAUGGUAGUACUUGUUUGCUUCUACUCUCAACACAAUGCAAAGUCAACUAUUGUAUUGUUUGACACGUAAUGACAUGGUUUAUUCUCGAGGCCUCUCAUUCCUAAACAGUGUAAUGUGGUUGAACUUUCAACAUGCAACGAUGAGUGGGUGGAGGAAGAGAGAUCAUCUUAACCAAAGCUACCUAGUCG
rnacentral:lncRNA from 1 species